rnacentral:rRNA from 1 species
AAUAGAUACCCCGGUAGUCCACGCCGUAAACGAUGAAUACUAGGUGUGGGGGUUUCAACACCUCCGUGCCGCCGCUAACGCAUUAAGUAUUCCGCCUGGGGAGUACGGUCGCAAGAUUAAAACUCAAAGGAAUUGACGGGGACCCGCACAAGUAGCGGAGCAUGUGGUUUAAUUCGAAGCAACGCGAAGAACCUUACCUACACUUGACAUCCCUUGCAUUACUCUUAAUCGAGGAAAUCCCUUCGGGGACAAGGUGACAGGUGGUGCAUGGUUGUCGUCAGCUCGUGUCGUGAGAUGUUGGGUUAAGUCCCGCAACGAGCGCAACCCUUAUCGUUAGUUACUACCAUUAAGUUGAGGACUCUAGCGAGACUGCCUGGGUUAACCAGGAGGAAGGUGGGGAUGACGUCAAAUCAUCAUGCCCCUUAUGUGUAGGGCUACACACGUGCUACAAUGGCUGGUACAGAGAGAUGCAAAUACCGCGAGGUGGAGCCAAAACUUAAAACCAGUCUCAGUUCGGAUUGUAGGCUGAAACUCGCCUACAUGAAG